GGGUUGUGAGGUUAAGCGACUAAGCGUACACGGUGGAUGCCCUGGCAGUCAGAGGCGAUGAAGGACGUGCUAAUCUGCGAAAAGCGUCGGUAAGGUGAUAUGAACCGUUAUAGCCGGCGAUGUCCGAAUGGGGAAACCCAGUGCAAUUCGUUGCACUAUCGUUAACUGAAUACAUAGGUUAACGAGGCGAACCGGGGGAACUGAAACAUCUAAGUACCCCGAGGAAAAGAAAUCAACCGAGAUUCCCCCAGUAGCGGCGAGCGAACGGGGAGCAGCCCAGAGUCUGAAUCAGCUUGUGUGUUAGUGGAACGGUCUGGAAAGUCCGACGGUACAGGGUGAUAGUCCCGUACACCAAAAUGCACAGGCUGUGAACUCGAAGAGUAGGGCGGGACACGUGGUAUCCUGUCUGAAUAUGGGGGGACCAUCCUCCAAGGCUAAAUACUCCUGACUGACCGAUAGUGAACCAGUACCGUGAGGGAAAGGCGAAAAGAACCCCGGCGAGGGGAGAAAAGAACCUGAAACCGUGUACGUACAAGCAGUGGGAGCACCUUCGGGUGUGACUGCGUACCUUUUGUAUAAUGGGUCAGCGACUUAUAUUCUGUAGCAAGGUUAACCGUAUAGGGGAGCCGCAGGGAAACCGAGUCUUAACUGGGCGUUAAGUUGCAGGGUAUAGACCCGAAACCCGGUGAUCUAGCCAUGGGCAGGUUGAAGGUUGGGUAACACUAACUGGAGGACCGAACCGACUAAUGUUGAAAAAUUAGCGGAUGACUUGUGGCUGGGGGUGAAAGGCCAAUCAAACCGGGAGAUAGCUGGUUCUCCCCGAAAGCUAUUUAGGUAGCGCCUCGUGAAUUCAUCUUCGGGGGUAGAGCACUGUUUCGGCUAGGGGGUCAUCCCGACUUACCAACCCGAUGCAAACUACGAAUACCGAAGAAUGUUAUCACGGGAGACACACGGCGGGUGCUAACGUCCGUCGUGAAGAGGAAACAACCCAGACCGCCAGCUAAGGUCCCAAAGUCAUGGUUAAGUGGGAAACGAUGUGGGAAGGCACAGACAGCCAGGAUGUUGGCUUAGAAGCAGCCAUCAUUUAAAGAAAGCGUAAUAGCUCACUGGUCGAGUCGGCCUGCGCGGAAGAUGUAACGGGGCUAAACCAUGCACCGAAGCUGCGGCAGCGACACUAUGUGUUGUUGGGUAGGGGAGCGUUCUGUAAGCCUGCGAAGGUGUGCUGUGAGGCAUGCUGGAGGUAUCAGAAGUGCGAAUGCUGACAUAAGUAACGAUAAAGCGGGUGAAAAGCCCGCUCGCCGGAAGACCAAGGGUUCCUGUCCAACGUUAAUCGGGGCAGGGUGAGUCGACCCCUAAGGCGAGGCCGAAAGGCGUAGUCGAUGGGAAACAGGUUAAUAUUCCUGUACUUGGUGUUACUGCGAAGGGGGGACGGAGAAGGCUAUGUUAGCCGGGCGACGGUUGUCCCGGUUUAAGCAUGUAGGCUGAUUGUCCAGGCAAAUCCGGAUAAUCAAGGCUGAGGUGUGAUGACGAGGCACUACGGUGCUGAAGUAACAAAUGCCCUGCUUCCAGGAAAAGCCUCUAAGCAUCAGGUAACAUUAAAUCGUACCCCAAACCGACACAGGUGGUCAGGUAGAGAAUACCAAGGCGCUUGAGAGAACUCGGGUGAAGGAACUAGGCAAAAUGGUGCCGUAACUUCGGGAGAAGGCACGCUGGUGUGUAGGUGAAGCCCCUGCGGGUGGAGCUGAGACCAGUCGAAGAUACCAGCUGGCUGCAACUGUUUAUUAAAAACACAGCACUGUGCAAACACGAAAGUGGACGUAUACGGUGUGACGCCUGCCCGGUGCCGGAAGGUUAAUUGAUGGGGUUAUCCGUAAGGAGAAGCUCUUGAUCGAAGCCCCGGUAAACGGCGGCCGUAACUAUAACGGUCCUAAGGUAGCGAAAUUCCUUGUCGGGUAAGUUCCGACCUGCACGAAUGGCGUAAUGAUGGCCAGGCUGUCUCCACCCGAGACUCAGUGAAAUUGAACUCGCUGUGAAGAUGCAGUGUACCCGCGGCAAGACGGAAAGACCCCGUGAACCUUUACUAUAGCUUGACACUGAACAUUGAGCCUUGAUGUGUAGGAUAGGUGGGAGGCUUUGAAGCGUGGACGCCAGUCUGCGUGGAGCCAACCUUGAAAUACCACCCUUUAAUGUUUGAUGUUCUAACGUUGGCCCCUGACCGGGGUUGCGGACAGUGUCUGGUGGGUAGUUUGACUGGGGCGGUCUCCUCCCAAAGCGUAACGGAGGAGCACGAAGGUUAGCUAAUCCUGGUCGGACAUCAGGAGGUUAGUGCAAUGGCAUAAGCUAGCUUGACUGCGAGCGUGACGGCGCGAGCAGGUGCGAAAGCAGGUCAUAGUGAUCCGGUGGUUCUGAAUGGAAGGGCCAUCGCUCAACGGAUAAAAACUCCGGGGAUAACAGGCUGAUACCGCCCAAGAGUUCAUAUCGACGGCGGUGUUUGGCACCUCGAUGUCGGCUCAUCACAUCCUGGGGCUGAAGUAGGUCCCAAGGGUAUGGCUGUUCGCCAUUUAAAGUGGUACGCGAGCUGGGUUUAGAACGUCGUGAGACAGUUCGGUCCCUAUCUGCCGUGGGCGCUGGAGAAUUGAGGGGGGCUGCUCCUAGUACGAGAGGACCGGAGUGGACGCAUCACUGGUGUUCGGGUUGUCAUGCCAAUGGCACUGCCCGGUAGCUAAAUGCGGAAGAGAUAAGUGCUGAAAGCAUCUAAGCACGAAACUUGCCCCGAGAUGAGUUCUCCCUGAGACUUUAAGUCUCCUGAAGGAACGUUAAAGACGAUGACGUUGAUAGGCCGGGUGUGUAAGCGCAGCGAUGCGUUGAGCUAACCGGUACUAAUGAACCGUGAGGCUUAACCUUACAACGCCGAAG
rnacentral:rRNA from 1 species